rnacentral:rRNA from 1 species
AGAACGAACGCUGGCGGCAGGCUUAACACAUGCAAGUCGAGCGCCCCGCAAGGGGAGCGGCAGACGGGUGAGUAACGCGUGGGAACAUACCCUCCGGUUCGGAAUAACUCAGGGAAACUUGAGCUAAUACCGGAUACGGUCGAGAGGCGAAAGAUUUAUCGCCGGAGGAUUGGCCCGCGUCCGAUUAGCUAGUUGGUGUGGUAAUGGCGCACCAAGGCGACGAUCGGUAGCUGGUCUGAGAGGAUGAUCAGCCACAUUGGGACUGAGACACGGCCCAAACUCCUACGGGAGGCAGCAGUGGGGAAUAUUGGACAAUGGGCGAAAGCCUGAUCCAGCCAUGCCGCGUGAGUGAUGAAGGCCUUAGGGUUGUAAAAGGCUCUUUCACCCACGACGAUAAUGACGGUAGUGGGAGAAGAACGCCCGGCUAACUUCGCGCCAGCAGCCG